rnacentral:rRNA from 1 species
CGGCCCCUAAUACAUGCCAAGUCGAACGAACUCUGGUAUUGAUUGGUGCUUGCAUCAUGAUUUACAUUUGAGUGAGUGGCGAACUGGUGAGUAACACGUGGGAAACCUGCCCAGAAGCGGGGGAUAACACCUGGAAACAGAUGCUAAUACCGCAUAACAACUUGGACCGCAUGGUCCGAGUUUGAAAGAUGGCUUCGGCUAUCACUUUUGGAUGGUCCCGCGGCGUAUUAGCUAGAUGGUGGGGUAACGGCUCACCAUGGCAAUGAUACGUAGCCGACCUGAGAGGGUAAUCGGCCACAUUGGGACUGAGACACGGCCCAAACUCCUACGGGAGGCAGCAGUAGGGAAUCUUCCACAAUGGACGAAAGUCUGAUGGAGCAACGCCGCGUGAGUGAAGAAGGGUUUCGGCUCGUAAAACUCUGUUGUUAAAGAAGAACAUAUCUGAGAGUAACUGUUCAGGUAUUGACGGUAUUUAACCAGAAAGCCACGGCUAACUACGUGCCAGCAGCCGCGGUAAUACGUAGGUGGCAAGCGUUGUCCGGAUUUAUUGGGCGUAAAGCGAGCGCAGGCGGUUUUUUAAGUCUGAUGUGAAAGCCUUCGGCUCAACCGAAGAAGUGCAUCGGAAACUGGGAAACUUGAGUGCAGAAGAGGACAGUGGAACUCCAUGUGUAGCGGUGAAAUGCGUAGAUAUAUGGAAGAACACCAGUGGCGAAGGCGGCUGUCUGGUCUGUAACUGACGCUGAGGCUCGAAAGUAUGGGUAGCAAACAGGAUUAGAUACCCUGGUAGUCCAUACCGUAAACGAUGAAUGCUAAGUGUUGGAGGGUUUCCGCCCUUCAGUGCUGCAGCUAACGCAUUAAGCAUUCCGCCUGGGGAGUACGGCCGCAAGGCUGAAACUCAAAGGAAUUGACGGGGGCCCGCACAAGCGGUGGAGCAUGUGGUUUAAUUCGAAGCUACGCGAAGAACCUUACCAGGUCUUGACAUACUAUGCAAAUCUAAGAGAUUAGACGUUCCCUUCGGGGACAUGGAUACAGGUGGUGCAUGGUUGUCGUCAGCUCGUGUCGUGAGAUGUUGGGUUAAGUCCCGCAACGAGCGCAACCCUUAUUAUCAGUUGCCAGCAUUAAGUUGGGCACUCUGGUGAGACUGCCGGUGACAAACCGGAGGAAGGUGGGGAUGACGUCAAAUCAUCAUGCCCCUUAUGACCUGGGCUACACACGUGCUACAAUGGAUGGUACAACGAGUUGCGAACUCGCGAGAGUAAGCUAAUCUCUUAAAGCCAUUCUCAGUUCGGAUUGUAGGCUGCAACUCGCCUACAUGAAGUCGGAAUCGCUAGUAAUCGCGGAUCAGCAUGCCGCGGUGAAUACGUUCCCGGGCCUUGUACACACCGCCCGUCACACCAUGAGAGUUUGUAACACCCAAAGUCGGUGGGGUAACCUUUUUAGGAACCAGCCGCCUUAAGG